rnacentral:pre_miRNA from 1 species
UUACUACUCCCUCCGUUCCAUAAUUCUUGUCGAAAUAUUACAUGUAUUUAGACGUUUUUUAGGAAUAGAUACAUCUAUGUUUGGACAAAUUUGAGACAAGAAUUAUGAAAAGGAGGGAGUAUUAC